GGGCUUCUUUGGGAGAUAAUUCUCUCCCUCCUAGGUCAGAAGUUAUAUACUAAGAUGAUGCUGGAUAUUUAUAACACUUAUCAGAAGAUUAUCUACUUCUACCUAUAGUAUACAUUUUAUAAUUCUGCAUACUUUAGAAAUGUUCCAGAGCAAACUCUAAAAUGCCAUGAAUAAUUCAUUAU